GGGGGCGAAAGGUUUCGACCGGGCGCUGGAAGUGAUCGGCUGCGUGUCGUGGUUGAUCAGCGGGCCACGUAAAAAGCUGAUCGCACCAACCUGCCGAACCGCAGGUUUCUCUCGCGGCUUAAUGCAGCCCGCGACCGCCUUUGCUCCUCGCCUGAGGGAGUAAACAGCGGCUGGCAAUUCAGGCUCGCGAUCGUUUGAGGACUGGUUCAGUCACCAGUUCGAUGCGGGGGCGACGAUCGCUAAACUCUCUGCCCGCUAGCGACCUCAUGAUCCUGUUCGUCGGAGCAUGAGGGAGCGAACACGGAGGGAAGCCUUACGGACAGCCUUCCGAAAGAAGACGAACUACACACGUAGAUGCCGUCAUGGACACGCUCCGGGACGCGGGUUCAAUUCCCGCCGCCUCCACUG
rnacentral:tmRNA from 2 species